GGGGUUGUGGCUGAGUGGUAGAGCACUUGCCUAGCAUGCGUGAGGCACUGGGUUCAAUUCUCAGCACCA
rnacentral:tRNA from 1 species